AAUGGUUUAACAACUAAUGUACCAGGUUUUCAUCCAAACCUGUUUUCAUGGAAGGAAGUCAGCAUUUGGGGAGGGGUGACCCCAGUCGAUGCAAAUUGGGCGGACAUGCCCAUACAUGCACAGACUAGCAUUCAAUGCAAAUUAGGCUGAUAUGACACCUGUGUGUGAACUAAUUAU